rnacentral:lncRNA from 13 species
CUGCACUAAAUUUAUUAAAAGUAUUUUUCUUUUUCAAUAAUAAAUUAACUUUAGCUUAUUAUAACUUCUACUUUAUAAACUUUAAUUUUAAAACUGUUGAUAGUUUUGUGAUACUAUUUAGAUUAAAACUCUAACACAUUGCACAAAAACAUUUUCUUUUUCUUCUGUAAACACUUGUCCGUUUUGUCUUUUUCUUUUAUAUUUUCUGUAAGACACAAAGACAAAAAGUAAGACACUAACACACGCAUUAGCCUAGGCCUGCACAGGAUCAGAGUUAUCAAGAUCACUAUCUUCCACUUCAUCUUGUCCCAGGGGAAGGUCUUCAGGGGAAUUAACAUACCUGAAACUGUUGUUUAUGAUAACGAUGUUCUGAAAUAUCUCCUGAAGGACCUGUCUCAGCCUGUUUUAUAGUUAACUUAAAAAAAAAAGUAGACGAAGUAUACUCUAACAAUAAAAGCAUAGUAAAUAUGUAAAUCAGUAAAUAUUUAUCAUCAUCAAGUAUUAUAUACUGUACAUGAUGGUAUGUGCUUUAUGAUUGGAAGUACAUUUUUGUUUACAUCAAUAUCACCAUAAACAUGUGAGCAAUGCCUUGCACUGUGAUGUUACAAUGCCUAUGAUGUCACAAGGCAAUAGAAAUGUUUCAGUUCCAUUGUAAUCUUAGGACACCACUGUCAUAUUUGAGUGCCAUCACUGACACGCUGGGCUGUGCAUGACUGUACUGUUUGCUGUUUCUGCCCAAGAAGAGGGAGGCGUACCCUAGCUUUUGAAUUAAUGUUGCUGUUCUUCUGAUUGGAUAGAGAUUUGCGCUCAUUAUUAUUGAGACCUGCACUCAAGAUACUGAAUAUCAUCAACAUUGGAGAGUAUCUGUUUAGUACAGUAGAGGCCAACCUUUUUGACACAAAGAACUGGUUUUGUGGAAGACAAUUUUUACAAGGACCAGAUGAUGUCCAAAACCAUGCAAGAUGCACAGAUUGUGCAGUGCACACCUGCCGGGGCCAUCAUGUCCUGGAAUUGAGCAACAUGCAUCAGAUGUUUGUUCCAAUGAAGAGUCUUGGACCCAUUGUAAACCUACCGAUUUAGAAUUGUAAGAUGAAGCCAAAAGCUUUGCAUUUCUAAAAAUCGUAGAAUUUGCUGUUAUGUAUACUAGCUGACAUUUUGCACUAUAUAGAGGCCUGUUUCACUGAACAUAAUACCUCCCCUGUAGCUUCCAAAAUUAAAAAUCAAAUUUCCCUAACAUAGCAUGAUGAGGUACUGGUAAAGUGACAUAUGUAUAAUAUUAUCAAAAAUAUUUGCAUUCUAAAAGAGAAUUGUUGUUAACUAAAAUGCAACUCUAUUUGGCAGAAUUGUAGGCAUUAUGACAAAGGAAAGGGAUUUCCAAAAGAAGUAUAUUUAGGAAGAAGAGAGAGAUGUUGGGGGCAGGUAGAAUUACAUAGACAGGAUAUUUAUAACUGAGAUUUUCCCUUGGAAUAAAAUCUUCAAAGAUGUUUCUCA